rnacentral:rRNA from 1 species
AUUGAACGCUGGCGGCAUGCCUAACACAUGCAAGUCGAACGAGUGGCGGACGGGUGAGUUAUGUCUGGGAAACUGCCUGAUGGAGGGGGAUAACUACUGGAAACGGUAGCUAAUACCUCAUCCCAUCAGAUGUUCCCAGGUUUGAUUAGUUAGUUGGUGGGGUAACGGCUCACCAAGGCGACGAUCCCUAGGUGGUCUGAGAGGAUGACCAGCAACACUGGAACGGAGACACGGUCCAGACUCCUACGGGAGGCACCAGUGGGGAAGAUUGCACAAUGGGCGCAAGCCUGAUGCAGCCAAGCCGCGUGUAUGAAGAAGGCCUUCGGGUUGUAAAGUACUUUCCGCGGGGAGGCGUUACCCGCAGAAGAAGCACCGGCUAACUCCGUGCCAGCAGCCGCGGUAAUAC